ensembl:rRNA 5S_rRNA 5S ribosomal RNA
GUAUACGGCCAUACCACCCUGGACACACCACAUCCUGUCUGAUCUUGGGAUCUAAACAGGGUCAGGCCUGUUUAGUGCUUGGAUGGGAGACUGCCUGGGAAUACUGGGUGAUGUAAGCU